AGCAAUAUGAAGGUCAGGCUGAAGACCUUACCCGAUUAGCUGAGAGGUGGUGCAUGGCCGUCGUCAGUUCGUACUGUGAAGCAUCCUGUUAAGUCAGGCAACGAGCGAGACCCACGUCCACAGUUGCCAGCAUACCCUCCGGGGUGAUGGGUACACUGUGGAGACCGCCGCUGCUAAAGCGGAGGAAGGAGUGGGCAACGGUAGGUCAGUAUGCCCCGAAUCUCCCGGGCUACACGCGGGCUACAAUGGUUGGUACAAUGGGCAUCUACCCCGAAAGGGGAAGGAAAUCUCUUAAAGCCAAUCGUAGUUCGGAUUGAGGGCUGCAACUCGCCCUCAUGAAGCUGGUAUCCGUAGUAAUCGCGUUUCAACAGAACGCGGUGAAUACGUCCCUGCUCCUU
rnacentral:rRNA from 1 species